CAGCCGCCGCGGGAACACGAAGGGUGCAAGCGUUAAUCGGAAUUACUGGGCGUAAAGCGCGCGUAGGUGGUUCAUUAAGUUGGAUGUGAAAGCCCUGGGCUCAACCUGGGAACUGCAUCCAAAACUGGUGAGCUAGAGUACGGUAGAGGGUAGUGGAAUUUCCUGUGUAGCGGUGAAAUGCGUAGAUAUAGGAAGGAACACCAGUGGCGAAGGCGACUACCUGGACUGAUACUGACACUGAGGUGCGAAAGCGUGGGGAGCAAACAGGAUUUGAUACCCCCGUAGUCCCUGUCUCUUAUAC
rnacentral:rRNA from 1 species